ACUCUACUCCCCCCUCUUCCUUUCACUUCCUUCAGUGAGAUUAACCUACUCCUCCAUCCUUCUAACCUGCCUUGCUGGGGAGCUGGAGGCAAAAGAAUGCUCCAGAAGAGACCUGUCUCCAUAGGGCAUCAUUCCUGGGUCUGCCUGAGGAUCCUCAUUAGCUGACCUGCCUGCAUGGUGAAAGACAUGACUUCUUGGUUUAUUCUCCCCAGCACUUGGAGAAAAAUCAGAGCAGUUCUCUGAAAAUAAGAACGAAGCCCCCUCUUCCUGGAGCCUUGCAGACUGUUGGAAGGAACCGAUGUGACUGUUUACUGCUUCCUGUGCCAUCCAUGCCCUUGCUCCAAGACCUUCUAACAGUGGAGGCCAGCUCUCCUCUCCUAGUGACAGUUCAUUCGCUUCGGAAGAGGCCAGUCUUUAUGUCAUACACACCGAGGAAGGUAAGGAUAGUGCCCAUGUCCCAAGAAACUGCAAGCUCUUGACAGCAGGCAUGGGAGUUAUCUUAGAAGAACAUGCCCUGGCCAGUGCUUGAAGCCUAGCCAACCUGAUAGAUCACUCCUGAACGUUUGCCCCAUAGAAACUGCAUGAUAAUGAACGUUUGUUGUUUUAAGUUCAGUGUGAGGGUGAAUUGUUACCAAGCAGUAUAUAACCCUAUAGACAGGGUAAUUGAAGAGGCUCCCCCUUAACCUCAUGGGCAAAAGUCACCUUGAUUUAUUUAUCACUUUGUGCAUUUCAAAGAAGAUAUGUGGGCCUCUCAAACCCUAUGAACAGAAUGGAUAACAUGCCAUUUCAGAAGCUAAUUGUCCCACAGCCCUGGUAGUGAGAGACCCUCCGGGACCAAAACGAAUGGGACAGCUUUUAGUGUCUCUCUCUCGCCAAGCAAGCGUUGUCCAUGUCCCUGUCUCAUAGACAUCUUCAACAGAAAGACCCUGGAAAUCAAUGCAAAGUAAAAGUGGGAGGAAAAAAGUCCCCAACUAUAAUUCUUCCUGAAGUGCUAUAUAACACUCCCGCAGCGCGCAGCCUCCCUGCCUCUUCUGGUUCUUAUAACACACAGGAGUUUACGGCCUUGGAUCUGGCCCAAAACUGUAGAUAGCCAUCAAUUUUGAGAACGUUCAUAUAUUCUGAACAGUGAAACUGUUCAUGGUUGUGGUGUUUAUGGCUGGGGUUUAAAUAGGAAGCUAAUAAAGAUAAAAACUGUU
rnacentral:lncRNA from 1 species